GAACAAGUAGAGGAGGCGUUUAUUGUGAGAGAGGAGAGGAAAAUUUUCGUAAAUGCCAACAGGUACUCUUUUUUCAAUCCAAACACAUACAGAUUUUGGUUUUUUGGUGUGCAUGUUAUUUGUGGAUUGCUGAUGAAACUACAUCUUGAUGCGAAUUGAGGAAUUAAAGUAUAAAGAUAAAGUAAUUUUACCAAAUCCUUUUCUUUAGAUUCUGAUGUUAUAAUUUUGCAAUGUACUGUGAUUACUUGAAGCUUGGAAGAUGUCAAACUCUGAUUUUGAGAGCUUUCAAGUUUGUUUCAUUCCCAAAGAGAAGAAGGAGAUUUAAGAUAUUUUAUGUGAUGUCGGGUUUUCUUCAUUUUGGAUUAUGAUUACCUGAAAAAUGAAAUUCCAUGGUUACUUUUAUUCGUUUUGAAUCUGAUUUCAAUUAUUAAGACUUAGAUAUAUGCCCAAGAUUCUCUUCAUUUAUCUAUAGCUUUAUUUGAAGCUCUAUUGUUUAUUUACUUUUAUUAUAGAUAACUCACAUCUAAAUUAUCUUUGCGAGUAUAAAUGCUUUAAAGAAAACAAUGUUGAUACAGAUGGAUGGAUCGACGCAGAAGUGCUACUAUCUUCUUUCUUUGCUUGUCUCUUGGGGGUGAUGGUAGUCUUGCUUUUUUAGCCUCACGGCUACGUUAUUUUUUAUUUUAUUUUUCCUAUUUCUAGAUUCCCAUGUUCCUAUUUCUACGUUAUUUUUUUAUUUUUUAUUUUUUUAUGCGAAGGCUUCAACCGUUAAUUUAAUCUUUUGUUCAAGCGUAAUUCCUUUUCUAGAUCUAACGGUCCAUUUCCAGUAUAAAUUUUUCAUGGAUACGGGAAUAUGUAGAUGGGACGUAUAAGUAUAGGAUUUGGUGCCUGGAUUUCUCUUUUACUUGAAUUAGCUUAUCUUAUAUGGACUUAGUAAAUUACUGUAUAUGAAUGAACUUUGUUUGCCAUUAAUGUAAGUUGAAUCAUUAUCAGUGAAUAUGACGAUGGUUUUUUUUGUCUUAUGCUGGGUAAGAAAAUAUUUUUUUUAUAUCAAUCACUUCGAAUCAGUAAGUAUAUUUACGUAUGUCUAAUUUCGUUUUCGUUAAAUUAAUAUACAUUUUUAAUCGAUAAAUCAUAUUUUCACAUAAAUUAACAUAUAGAUAAAUUUUUUUAACAGAUUUAUAAUUUUUUUUUAAACGUGAACAAGAAAAAAAAUUCAUUUGUAUGUAUAAAUUCUUUCCGACCGGCUGUAAAAGCUAUCAGUCGACAGUUACCCAGUCGGUUGUCAAUUUUUUUUUUUAAUAAAUUUAUGUUAUCACUGUGGUUGAGCCCAAUUUUAACUUUUUGUUUCGUCGUGCAGAUAUGGUUGUAAUCCCAGUUUGUUAUUUUGGUGAUUUUAAAUUGGAUGAAAAUGAUCGAUGGAUAUAAAAAUGGACGAAUAAUGUACGUGGUGGUAUUCCGAUUUCCAUAGCAAGUAAUACAUCAUACGUGGAAAUGUACCAUAAUUUAGAAAGCAAGCUGAAUGUCGAUGUCUCUAAGCAUAAGAUGGAACUAAGAUUUCAAUUCAAGGAGCAUUCAUCCUUUUCGAUUCCACCUAUGAAGGUUACUUCUAAUUCUGAAGUGAAUUGUCUAUUUGAAUUGAAUAAAACGCACACGACUCCUCUUUGCGUGACUUUAGUGAAGAAGGAUGUGAUAAAAUUCGAUACGGGUAAGUUCUAAAUUAAAUCGACCCAAUUCAGUUGUUGAAACCAAAUCGAACUGUUGUCAAUUUUAUAUUCUGCAAGUAUAUGGAUCGUUAUUGGUAAUAAAGUGGACCUAAAAGUUCGGAUAUUAUUCUCACGAGUACUGCUAUUUAACAAUGACAAUUGGUUCAUUUAUUCUUAAUUUGAAUUUGAUUGAAAACGAAUAAAGUAGAUAUUUGUUUUUUCUUUUGUGAUUAUCUCUUUUAAUUAUACUAAAAC
rnacentral:lncRNA from 1 species